UACGUAGGCAGCAAGCGUUGUUCGGAGUUACUGGGCGUAAAGGGUGUGUAGGCGGUUCUUUAAGUUUGGGGUGAAAUCUCCCGGCUCAACCGGGAGGGUGCGCCGAAUACUGAGGGACUAGAGUGCGGGAGAGGAAAGUGGAAUUCCUGGUGUAGCGGUGAAAUGCGUAGAUAUCGGGAGGAAUACCCGUGGCGAAGGCGGUCCACUGGGCAUCAACUGACGCUGAGGCGCGAAAGCGUGGGUAGCAAACAGG
rnacentral:rRNA from 1 species